rnacentral:rRNA from 1 species
UACGUAGGAGGCAAGCGUUGUCCGGAUUUAUUGGGCGUAAAGAGCUCGUAGGCGGUCUGUCGCGUCGGAUGUGAAAACCCAGGGCUCAACCCUGGGCCUGCAUUCGAUACGGGCAGACUAGAGUGUGGCAGGGGAGACUGGAAUUCCUGGUGUAGCGGUGAAAUGCGCAGAUAUCAGGAGGAACACCGGUGGCGAAGGCGGGUCUCUGGGCCAAUACUGACGCUGAGGAGCGAAAGCGUGGGGAGCGAACAGG